ensembl:miRNA Gm44381 predicted gene, 44381
UGCGAGUCCGCUGCCACCGCUGCUGCCACCCCAUCCCACCCCACCGCAGCAGCAGCAGCAGCAGCAGCAGCAGCAGCAGCAGCA